rnacentral:rRNA from 1 species
AGUCGAGCGAGGAGUUGCGAAAUGAAGCUUCGGCAGAUUUUUGUAAUGGAAAGCGGCGGACGGGUGAGUAACGCGUGAGUAACCUGCCCUUAGGAGGGGGACAACAGUUGGAAACGACUGCUAAUACCGCAUAACAUAUGGUAACCGCAUGGUUAACAUAUCAAAGAUUUAUCGCCUAAGGAUGGACUCGCGUCUGAUUAGAUAGUUGGUGAGGUAACGGCUCACCAAGUCGACGAUCAGUAGCCGAACUGAGAGGUUGAUCGGCCACAUUGGGACCGAGACACGGCCCAGACUCCUACGGGAGGCAGCAGUGGGGAAUAUUGCGCAAUGGGGGAAACCCUGACGCAGCAACGCCGCGUGAAGGAUGAAGGUCUUCGGAUUGUAAACUUUUGUCUUAUGGGAAGAAGAAAGUGACGGUACCAUAGGAGGAAGCCACGGCUAACUACGUGCCAGCAGCCGCGGUAAUACGUAGGUGGCAAGCGUUGUCCGGAUUUACUGGGUGUAAAGGGCGUGUAGGCGGGUUUGUAAGUCAGAAGUGAAAUACCGGGGCUCAACUCCGGGGCUGCUUUUGAAACUGCAGAUCUUGAGUGCUGGAGAGGGAAGCGGAAUUCCUAGUG